rnacentral:tRNA from 1 species
GCGUCGUUAGCGCAAUAGGCAGCGCGUCAGUCUCAUAAUCAAAUCUAGAAAUCUGAAGGUCGUGAGUUCGAUCCACACACGGGGAA